UACCAGCACCCCGAGUGGUCGGGACGUUUAUUGGGCCUAAAGCAUCCGUAGCCGGUUCUACAAGUCUUCCGUUAAAUCCAGCUGCUUAACAGAUGGGCUGCGGAAGAUACUAUGGAGCUAGGAGGCGGGAGAGGCAAGCGGUACUCGAUGGGUAGGGGUAAAAUCCGUUGAUCCAUUGAAGACCACCAGUGGCGAAGGCGGCUUGCCAGAACGCGCUCGACGGUGGGGGAUGAAAGCUGGGGGAGCAAACCGG
rnacentral:rRNA from 1 species